UGUCGAAAAUCUAAACAAGACAAUUCAGUAAUAUUAAAUGUGAGAUGCUUUAAACAAGUGAUUUACCCAAAAUUAGCAUAAUUUACUUUAAACAAGUGACAUUAUUAUUGUUUGCUUAUUUGUUUACCUUGUGCCUUGUGGUAAGGGCUACGCGGCAACAAAAUCUCUGCGAAGACCUGCGGCAGUACUCUAGCUACAAUCAAAGCCAUGUCCCCUGUAUGCAACUAUGCAUGUCACAUGGACUCAGCUUGUACCAGAGGAAUGGCUCAACACUCCUUAUAGAUAGAUAAUUCAUUUUUAAAUUGAGCAAGUCAGCAUGCAUGUAUCUAUUCUUAGAUGAAUAAACAUGUAUUAUCUUGUGU
rnacentral:lncRNA from 1 species